GAUGAACGCUGACAGAAUGCUUAACACAUGCAAGUCAACUGUGGCGGACGGGUGAGUAACGCGUAAAGAACUUGCCUCACAGCUAGGGACAACAUUUGGAAACGAAUGCUAAUACCUGAUACUGUGAGAGAGCUUUGCGUCCCAUUAGCUAGUUGGAGAGGUAACGGCUCACCAAGGCGAUGAUGGGUAGCCGGCCUGAGCGGGUGAUCGGCCACAAGGGGACUGAGAACCGGCCCUUACUCUUACGGGAGGCAGCAGUGGGGAGGAAUGGAGAAUGGACCAAAGUCUGAUCCAGCAAUUCUGUGUGGACGAUUAAGUUUUCGGAAUGUAAAGUGCUUUCAGUUGGGAAGCGGUACCAACAGAAGAAGUGACGGCUAAAUACGUGCCAGCAGCCGCGGUAAUUC
rnacentral:rRNA from 1 species